AACUCCCAAACCUUUUUACUUUUCCCUCAAAACUUUUACUCCUUCACACUUUUCCCCCAAAACUUUUACUCCCCUCCCCUCCUAACCCCCCAAUCUACCCAAAAUCCAUUUCCCACCAAAAUUUUACUCUUCCAUUUAACUUUUCUCAAAAUUUUACUCCAAAAAACCGUCAAAACAUUUUAUUUUCCCUCACAAUUUUUACUUCCUCCCACUUUUCCCCUAAAACUUUUAUUCCCUUCCCAUCCCACCUCUCAUCUCCUCCAUUUUUUUUAAUAUUUCCCUCCAAAUUUUUACUCCCCCUAUUUACUUUCCCUCAAACUUUUAUUCCCCAAAAUUUUUUAUUUUCCCCCUAAACUUUUACUUCUCACCCUUUACUCUCAAAUAAAAAAUCAAAAUUAUCAAAAAAAAAAAU
rnacentral:lncRNA from 1 species